AUGAUUUUUUUUAGUUUCAUUAAUUCUUUUCUUUUUCUUUCUUUAGAAAUUGUUCUGUAAUUCUUCAAUUAUUGAUAUUCGUUAAUCCGUUUACCAUUUCUGUCAAGGAAUUUCUCUGUUGCAAUAUCAAGUUUUGAUGUGAAGUUCGCGAGAUGAUUAAAUCCUCCAAUGAUCUAAGUUUGUUAGGAACUAUCAUUUCUUCCAAGGUUUAACUACAUAUUGAUAAGCCAUCGGUGCGGGCAACCUGGGGUGGCGG